rnacentral:pre_miRNA from 1 species
GUGAGAUGAAAUCAACGUUUGGACAUGUGAUUUGACGUUGAUUUCAUCUCAUGA